AAUCCAUUAAAUUAAUAUGAAGAAGAAUACAAGGAGACCAACAUUUUAUGCUUUAUGAUAUACUAUUAGCGUUAUUUGCUACCAUGUAUACUAUUAGUGAUAUUCUUCCUUCUACAUCCUUGAUAAAUAGUGAUCUAUAAAAUUAAAAUUUGAAAAGUUAUUGCAUCUUUAAAUGACUUUUCAAGGCAAUUUGCUUUAUAGCAUAUUGAUUUCCCCUUGGAAAUAUCCACGUUUAGAUAAAAGUUAGAACAUAACAUGUGAUAUUCCUGAGGGAAAACCAAACAUGCUUUAAAUCAACCAAAGUCAGCCCUAUGGUUUUGCUGCUUUUAGGAAAGAUGAGCUCUUGGUGAUCUCGCGAACCGGCUUAUCCGUGUACCGAAUGACGUUAUAAACCCAUGCACCAGCCACAGCUCCAAGAAUAGGAGACACCAAGUAUAUCCAUAUUCCUCUGUAUUCACUGUGUAGAAGAGCAGGUCCUAUACUUCUUGCUGGAUUCAUUGAUGCUCCUGUGAUUGGUCUGUCAUAUAAGAAAUAAUGUCAUUAGAAAUUUGCAGAAUCAUAAGGAUUUACUUCAUAUACACUUUUAUUACUGAAUCCUUAUAAUAAAAUUUGUGAUUGUUCUAUUCAAAGUUUUUACUGCAUCACAUGAUCUUAACCAUGAAGAGACAAACACCCAAUCACACAAAUGAGAUCAUGACUUGUUAUCUGUUUCCAAAAGGUGAUCAACAUCUUUGAGUGAAUAAAUUAAUUUCUUAAAGACGUAAGCAUAUGAUAUAUUAAUUAACUUUGGGAUAAGUUAAUACCCUACCCUGCAAACAUCACAUUCAAAAGUACAGUAGAUCCAACUGCAAUCCCAGCCAACUCACCAAUCUGCAAGUUUCAAAAUAAAACGAAUAAAUAAAAGCCAAUAAAUAUAAUGGUCUAACAAUUACAAAUAUUCAAAUAUGGUCUUUUUGUUUCGUAUAAAGCUUUGUCUUGUUAUGUAAACUACUAGCUGCUAGCAUUCUUCCAAAUGAUUCAAAACGUUACAAUACAACUAUAUUUAGACAACUAGUCAAUUUCAUUUUCUCUUUUUAUAUUAGAGUUUGAAAGAUGAUUAGCCAACCCUUAUUUUGCUAGACACGUAUUAAAUCAAAAUACUUUAUACCAAAAUAAAGAGUGAUUAAAUUAGUUAAUAACAAAAUUAACAAGCAAGAAACAAAGCAUUAUGAUGAACAAACACGUUACCGCUCUAUUAUCAGUGGCAACUCCAGAUAUGAUAAACAUAAGGUAAAAAGUGAUGAUGAAUUCAAUCACAAAAGCUUGAAGGUCAGACCCAGCUGGAAGUGUUCCAACAAAUUGAUUAUGUUUGCCGGUAAAUAUUAGUCUAAGAGUUCCACUUGCAAGUGUGGAUCCAAAGACUUGAGCUGCUACAUAAGCUGGUACCUAUACAAUAAAUGGAAAGAUUAAUGGGUAGUUAGCAAGGUUUUAAAUUACGGAGAAUCACAGUCAAAUACGAUCAAUGUGGCCUCAAUUGCAAUUUCGACAACAAAAAAAAAUUAUUAUGUCGCAGCCUAGAUCACGGUCACAAACCUUUAUUUAAAUUCUGGUUGAUAGAUAAGCUAUCUUUCAUCACAUUAUUUUUAUAGCUACGUGUGUGUGAACACCCAAUUUUUUAUUUUAUUCCCUAUUGAAUGAAAUUGUGUUCACAAUGUGCAAUAAUUGACAUGAUUUCUUUGGAUAUUAUAAAGUAAUAUGAAAAGGUCAAAAUAAGUAAGAAGAAGAAAUUAAUUUUUCAAGCAAAGUAGGCUGUAGAUCAUGAACUAAUUUGAGUCUAAUUUCCUAACAAGUUCUGCCAAAAAAAAAGUAAAAAAUCAACGUGAUAGUUGAAAAAAUGGUGAGUUUGGUGCACCUGUUUCAAGGGAAAUCUUUUGGUGCUGGCAAAAGCAAUGGUAACUGCAGGAUUGAAAUGAGCACCAGAGAUGUGACCAAGAGAGUAAACCAGCACCAUCACAGCAAGUCCCCAAACAAUUGAAAUUCCAGGAAGUGUUACAACAUUUUCAUUGUUCUUGUUCACCAACACCGAAGCACAACCGGCAAAUAUCAAGAAAUAUGUGCCUAUCACCUCAGCUACCAACUGCAUCAAUAUUGUCACAUUCCAUAGCAAAUAAGUUAUGAACAAAGAAAACAUUUGAACGUGUUUUUGAGACAAAAAGAAAGAAAAGGAGACACCUUCUGCAAGAAAGAAGCGGUGGCAUGAGAGGUUGAGUCUUCACUUUUGUUAGAGACAUCCUUGUUUACGUUUAAAACAAUCUCAUUGGUUGCAUUGCUAGCUGAAUUUUCUGCCAUCACUAUUAGAGGAACAAGAAAAUGGUUGAUGAAUGAACAAUGAACUUGCUUUCUUUGAGAUGGACCAAACCAAACAAUCUCUUUGAUCCUAUUUAUAAUAUCUAGUUUUCGUAAAAAAUUAAAUUUGAUCUUACAAGGUUGUUGAGAAGUACUAUAAUGCUUGAACGUGAGAAAAUGACCUUUUUAUAAUAUUCCUGUGAUUUACGGUGGUGUAUUGUAUUAGAGAAGUAAAUCAAUAUGAUUGAUACAGAUGAUGCAC
rnacentral:lncRNA from 1 species